AGUUAAUCUAACAGAGCCAGGCUAGCCAUUUCCCCAUUUUAGAUCUUUAUGUUAAGCUAAGCUAAC